rnacentral:rRNA from 1 species
UCAGAGUUUGAUCCUGGCUCAGUGUGAAAAACUCCGGUGGUAUGAGAUGGACCCGCGUUGGAUUAGCUUGUUGGUGGGGUAACGGCCCACCAAGGCGACGAUCCAUAGCCGGCCUGAGAGGGUGAACGGCCACAUUGGGACUGAGACACGGCCCAGACUCCUACGGGAGGCAGCAUG